CGUGGAGACAGGUGGUGCAUGGUUGUCGUCAGCUCGUGUCGUGAGAUGUUGGGUUAAGUCCCGCAACGAGCGCAACCCUUGAUGUUAGUUGCCAGCAGGUAAGGCUGGGCACUCUAACGUGACUGCCGGUGACAAACCGGAGGAAGGUGGGGAUGACGUCAAAUCAUCAUGCCCCUUAUGUCCAGGGCUACACACGUGCUACAAUGGCCAGUACAAAGGGUCGCAAUACCGCGAGGUGGAGCAAAUCCCAGAAAGCUGGCCUCAGUUCGGGUUGGAGUCUGCAACUCGACUUCAUGAAGUCGGGAUCGCUAGUAAUGGCGCAUCAGCUACGGCGCCGUGAAUACGUUCCCAGGCCUUGUACACACCGCCCAUCACAUCAUGAAAGCCGGCUGUACUCGAAGUCGCUGAG
rnacentral:rRNA from 1 species